rnacentral:rRNA from 1 species
AAACCAGGAUUAGAUACCCUAUUAUAUUUAAACAAAUUAGGUAGUAUUAUUAAUAAAAACCUUUAUACUUUGGCGGCAUUUUAUCUUAUUAGAGGAAUAUGUUCAUUAAUCGAAACCACACGAUAGUUUUUACUUACUAUAAAAUUUUAUAUACCCCCGUCUAAAGAAUUUAUUUAAAAUUUUUAUUCCAGAUUAUAUUAAAAAAAGUUAGGUAAAGGUGUAGACUAUUAGUAAGAUUAAAUGUAUUACAUUAAAAAAAAUUUAAGGAUAAAACAGCUAACUGUUUAUUAAAAGAGGAUUUAUAAGUAAUUUACUUUUAAUAAAAAUUGAUGAAUAAGAAAAUAAAUGUGCACAUAUCGCCCGUCACUCUCAC